CAAAACCAAAAACCAGGGCGGGGGAAUUUGUCGCCGAGCGAUUCCUCCUGACGUUCGCCCCCGCCGCACAGAACGAGGCUUCCUCCCUCCCUCGAACGCUAGCAACCCCGCUCCUCCUUCGCCGCCUCCGAGAUCGAGAGUAGCUGCCGCCGCCGCCCCGCCCCCCGCCAUCCGCCUCUCGCGUCGGCCGCCACUAGCGCGGCUCCACCCCUGUCUCCCCCAUUCAUCCCCAGUACCUCCUCGUCGUUCCCCCCUGCGUGCGCCCCUGCGGCUAACCCUAGCCGCCAAAUCGUGUUGCGGAGAGGGGCGGCCGCGUCGCUGAGGGUGUGGACCGGCUUGGGCGUCGCGGAGCCAACUCCACCCCAUCCCAUCCCACGCAGCCAUCCCAUCCCAUCACCGUGAUGGCCAAUGCGCGGGCUUCGAUGGGGCUGGCGUGGAUCUGGCAGAUGGCAGCCAGAUCAUGUGCACGACGGGCGGCUCUGGCGAGUCGGAGGGACGGCGGCUGAGCUUCUUCAUGGCCUGCUGUGGUUCCAGGGAGAGAGAGCCUCGACAGUGAACCUCCGGUGGCGACGGCACCAACACGAGCCUACCGGCGGCGGCGGCGGCGGCGGCUCGGAGCUGCGGGAGCUCAAGCGUUUGGAUACGAUUGAAUCACAGACCAAAGGUUGUGCACAGUGGAUGGACUAAGUUCCUGCUUUAAAAUGGUGACUGCAUUUAGAGCUGGAAUUUGUGCUUGGUCAGGUAUGGUGUCUUUGUAACUACAUCAGGUUCCUGCUUACAAAUGUUUGCACUUGUUUAAUACUAACUCCAUCCAAAAAUACUUGUCAUCAAAAUGGACAAAAAGGGAUGUAUCUAGAACUAAAAUACAUCUAGAUACAUCCCCUUUUAUUCAUUUUGAUGACAAGUAUUUCCGGACGGAGGGAGUAGAAAACUGCAUCAGGAGUUGGAAUAGGCGUUGUUGGUUCAGUGAGUGUGGUAGCAAUAAAAAAAAGCAUUAGGUGCAACUGGCUCGACAACUGUCGCUUGGUUGACUGCUGCUGCAGUAGGGCUGCUGCUGCUGGUAGGUCAACUGCUAAAAAAGGGUGCUGCUAAGGAUGGAGUAACUACUGCUCAUCGUUUAGUACAAGAUUUGUAGAAAGUUCUGCUUCAGCAAGAACCUUUCGGAUCGACUACAGUAUGAAAAAUUCCUCUUUCUUGAAUGGUUAUGGCUUACAUGAAAAAAAGGAUUCUCUUUUCCUUUUGUUUUCAUGUUGAUCAAGCAUUCAAUACAUGCACCGAGAGCAACAUAAUUGCCUUACUGUUUUGUUAUUUGGCUAAACCAAAGUUCAGCUACACUUGAGUUAGAGCUCAGUAUUCAAAAUCAGAUGGGACUGGCAAUCUGACAUAAAAGACCAGGACCUUAGUUGCCAGUGAUUGUAACCUGAUGUCUAGGUAGCAUUUAAGCCUUUGGCUUUUCCUAAACAAAACAUGUGUCUAUGUGGCUAGAGUUCAAAUCUAACAUUCUUAAGGAGUUGCUCCCCACUUCUACCUAUUCUCUCAACAUGCACACUAUCCACAUCAUCACCAUGCCACAUCAUCAAUACUAAAUAGGAGCAACCCACUAACUCAUUUCUCUAAACAUGCAGCCCUCCCACCUCACCAAGCUGCCACAUCAUCAUUUAUUUUGAUAAUAUUUUUUUACCCAUCACAGAAUACUAUUCUGCCAUGUCAGCAACGAGCGGUUCAAAGCAUAUGGGUCCAAUGAUGUUCACCCCUUCCUCUGCUCUCCCCUAUUCAUCUUCUGGGGUUCCACUUAGGAAACUGAUCGAAAAGGUAUUGAUGGAUUCCAUUCAGCUUCUUAGUCUAGGGCAGUAAUUUUUCGUAUAAUGGUUCCCUUCAUUUCCCACAGUAUAUAAAUCACCACAAUCGCCACUCAAACUCGCCCUCGAGUCCUCACAUCUUACGAUUCCCUUUUACGUCCUUGGCCUUCCUGUUUGGAUCCCUCAAGUGGCUGAUGGGUCGGAUGGUGUGUUACCCGGCGAUCGCGGCUUCUGGCGUCAUCUACAUAUUUUCCAGAGUUUAUACAAAACCGCAUGAGAAAAGAUCCCAUCAAGUAGUACUCAGUCGGCUGUCUCUCUCCACUGUAGAGUCAGCGGGAUGGAUCGGAGGAACUAGCCAGCGUCAACCAGGCAAAGGUACUCAUGGAGGUGGAGAACGAGUAAGGCCGGAGGCUCUCCGCUCACGUCUCUUCUCUCCACUGUAGCAUGCGCAUGUCUCUUCUCUCUGCAGACCUCCUAUUACAUAGGCAGUACCAGAUCUGAAUUGUUUGCUGUCUCAGAUGGUUUAUUCAGAAGUUCGGAUGUCUCUCUAUCCUUCAGGUCUCAGGCCGGCCUUCUGCACAGUUGCGGAGUCCUGGUUCUUUCAUUCCUUUUGUGUGAAUCUGAGAGUUUCAAUUCCCAUAAUGUAACUAGGAAAUUUCUUAUGAUUUCUGCAGAUCAUAUGGAUUUUAGGUGGCUAAUUUUUUUAGGUCCAAGUCUCUGCUUGGAACUGAGAGUUGUACUGGUUUCUGAAGCUUAUGUUGUACUGGUCUUCUCUGCUCUUUUAGGAUCACUACAUAUUUUUUGUGAGGGAUUCACAUGGCUAAAUGUUAACCAUAUCUAUUGCAGCAUUUGAGGACAAAUUCUGCAUCGUACUUUACCGAUUGCUAUGACCAGUUCAGAUAUCAACAUGAAUUUUCUUUAUUUCUGUUAUUCUGUAUGGUCAUAUAUCAUGUAGUCUCAAAUUCUGAAGGCCUUUUAAGGCACUAGCUCCAUUAAUCUUAUAUGAUGUCUAUUAAUCUUUUUGGACACACUCAAUCGCUCUGGUUUCUUCCUGAUGUCUUUUGUUUCUAUGGUUAACACUGAAGCAGGCUAAAUUUAAGAGUUGGUUAACAAGUUUAUUAAGUGAGGGUGUAUCUUCACCUUUUGAGAUUCAGAAUAGAGAUAUUCCUGCUUGAACAGGAGCAUCGUCGGUAAUGAAAAUUAUGUCUUCGCUCUGCUCUUUCUAUACGUAAAUGAACUCAGCUAUGCAUCACAUAUACUUCAGUUAUGAAUUAUAUUAUCAUAAACGUGUAUUUAAUAUCUCAAUGUCCCUGGUUGUUUCAGAAUAAAAUAGGUGUUGUUCAUCGUGGUCCUGAAAUACACAGUUUAUCUAUAUAAUUAUUGUGAUGGACUGAAAUAUGUGAUUGUUGAUAUAUAGCUAAACUCAUGUUGAUCUCUAUUUUUAUUCGUUUGAAUCAUGUUGUUUUGACAUGUCUAUUUUGGUCUUCACUUUAGAUCUUGCGGUGUGCUACCCAUAUGAAAAAGUAGAUCUAAAGAUAUUAUCAUCAUCGUCCUUACAUAAAUAGUUCAUACGGGACAGGCAUGUUUCCAUCUAUUAUUUCGGGUUUAUUUUGCCUCCUAAGUUGGUUACAAUCGUUUUCUAUAAUACGAUAUGCGAACACUUCUUCUACAUGCUUCAGUCAUUUUCAUGAAAGAGACCACGAAGUUAUUGGAUUAAAACAAUGUUUCUUUCUAUAUGCAAGUGCGAAGUGCAGUUUAGUGGAUGAACCAACCCAUAAAUCUGUCGGGGAAUACGUACAUAUAUUUCGGACUCAAUAUUAAGAAAUUGUCAACACAUACCUCAUUUCCACACGUUUGUGCAACAAUGUUUCUUAUAAAUAGAAUAUGUUAAUAUAUAUAUACCUUUUUGUUCCCAGAGAUGUCCCACAGCAACGCGUGGGGUAUCAUCUAGUAUGAUAUAUUUUAGUGUGUGAAAUAUAUUGCCUGAAUUAUCUGACAUCCGAAGCUAUGUACACGUUCUGCAGAAUUAGGAAACCAUGAAAUGUCCUGUUGUUUGAGGUUGCCCCCAUUUGCAACUGGACGUUCUGUGUGUGAUGCAAUUUGCAUGUUGUUUUCAGUGCAGCGAGUUCCAGCUGCUUUGUGACAACAAGCACAGGCGAGCGAACCUACCGUUGAGGUGGGUCGCGCAGUAGAGCAAAUGGCAGAGGUGCCCCAAGCACAAGAUCUACGUUGACCGAAAGGAUGGCUGCACCUUCAUUGCUUGAAGAUAACUACUACUUUGUUGGGUUUUCCUAAACUGGAAUGGCGUACGUUGGACUCUAAAUCGAUUGAGUGCCACGGAUAAACGCAGCAGUAUUAUCCGUAUAAUGAAAGGUAUGGAAGGGCAAUGACGAGCCUUUUUGUUUUAGCAUCCUAUCACUUAAGAUUGAUAUGAAAAUUAUGAACAAUGUUUCAGAUUUCAUUGUCCGAAUGCGAAUAACAUGGCAACCUAGGUACUAUCAGUAGUCAAUGGGAAUUAAUGUUCAGGCUGAAGGCCACAUGUUCUACUUUGUUCUGUCCCCUAUUUGGCUUUCAUAAUCCGAUUUUAGCAUUAGGUGAUUGACCAAUAUUAUAUAGUUAUUAGAAGCUCAAUACGUAAUUUAAUGUGGUUUCAGGGUCAAAUGUCUUCCUGGCCUAAAAUUAAUAGAACAUUUGAUUGGCUAUGUUUCUAUAAACUGUUGGAGGACAGACAUGUGUACGUACUGUUUGACUCAUAGCCAAUAGAAGAUAAAUGGCUAAUCUAGGCUAAGAGUUGUACUGGAUCUUCAGUGUGGAACAAUACUGUCAUUUCUUCUUACUUGCGAGCAUUCUUCCUUGAGAUCAUUCUGGUUUCUAUAACACCUGUAGUGAAGUUUCUGGACAAAUCCAACUACAAAUUCUGGGAACGAGUUAAAUAUUCGACCAAUAUAACAUCCAUGCUGAACUAGCUACCUAUCCUGCACAUGGAACACAUCGUCAAGUCAAGCGAGUAAAGAAACUAUUUCAAGACAUGUUAGUUCACCAAUCUCGUGUAUUCAGGUUAUCAUAAGAAGAAGCAAUUAGACAUUGAAUCUUUGCGUCACCAAUCCCAGGUAUUCAUUCACAGGUUGUUUCUCUUGUAAUUAAAAAAAUGUGCAAAUAUGAUGCUAUUAUUUGGUUCCUAAUAUCAUGGUAUUAUUUGGUUCCUAAUAUGAUGCUUCAUUGUCUAUGCAGUAGUUAUCUUCAAGCAGGCUCAUAUAAGUAACUCUGCUUUAUUGUAUAGCUUUUCAUGUUUGGAAUCAGAUUGGGAAUACUAUUUACCGCACCAAAUUAACUUGUAAAGGUUUGGAUUAGAAAUAGAAAUUAAUUCAGAAUGACAAACGUUAGUUUCUUGAACUGGUAUUAUUGAAUUAUAUCAAACCAACGGUACAUAUCAUAGCUCAUGAUUGGUAUAGCAGAUUUCAGACAUGAUGGUGAAUAAAAGUUCAGAGUGUAGGUACCUCUGAUUUCUUAAAUGAUUAUCUGUCAACAAAAUUGUUCGAUGUUAAGGCAGUGGUUGCUGAGACGAGGUGAUUUAAAUGUGUAGUUUUGUGUUUUUGUUAUAAUGAUACAUGAGAUAGGAAUGGCGAUCCCUACAUAUUUGAGUUAAUCCUUCAAAAAAAGUCUUAGCCUCUGCUGAUACCAAUGGUCAUUCUGUGCAGGAAAAAAAUCCCGAUAUGGUAGAGGACUGACGAUUUCCUAACAAUGGGGGCUUAACUUAGUAUAUGCAUGAAGCAUCAAUACGGAAAAGCCAUGGAGAGACAAUUUAUAAUUAUCAUAAAGGCACCACCGAUGUCCUAGUCGUCUUUCGUGUCUGCGUCUUCGUUGUCCGCUUCCUUCACAUGCUCUUCGUUGCCACCGAUCGACCUUGCGUAGCACCCAACACGCCGUGAUUGAGGAGUUUUCGGCCAAGCACUAUAAGAAGGAUGAUUUUUUCUACCUCAAUAGGUACCUCCCAUGUUUUCUCCAUGAUACCAUACUCCCAUUUUGAUCUACGAGAUUAUCUUCAUUGGUUCAACAUUUGAUCUAGCAGCAUCUGAUUUGUAUGAUGUUUUAUUAUGUAUUGGAUUAUCCUUAAGUUGUUUUGAGGAGAAAGGGGAUGGCCAAGAUGAUUUUAUGCAACCAUAUUUACAUCUUUGGAGCAUACUUUGGUCAGGAUGUUGGCGGUAGCUACCAUGUUGCUUCAACACGAUGGAGUAGUGCAUGUAGUUCUUGACGAUUGUUAGUUAGUUUUUUAAGGUUUCGCUCCUCGCUUCCUACUGCCAGUGCGCUUUGUCACGUUGUGCUUCGUUGGUGCUGCUGUUGCGUUGUUAUGGAGUGUUUCAGGUCUCCUGGUUGUUUGAUUUGGAAGAGGCAAGAUAUUUUUGCAGUUACUAGAGGCUAUCAGGUUUGUUCCUGUACCCCUCUUGUUGAAUGGUAGCUCAGGGAAAGAUAUUUCUGCAGUUACUAGAGGUUAUCAGGUGUGUUCCUGUACCCCUCUUGUUAAAUGGUAGCUCAUGGUUCUAUGUAGAAGAAUAUUUUAUUUUUUUGUGAAAUCAUUUUGACUCUGAUUAAGCAACAAAAGGGGUACGGAUAGAACUCAACAUGCUUCAUAACACUGAACAUUUGUGGUCUCUGUUGUUAUGCCUUCCUUUGUACAUUUAUUAACCUCUACAUGGUAUUAUCUACUUCUUUACUGUUAUAGUGUAAAAUCAGUUAAUAAGUAGAUGACGAGGACAAGUUUGUUAUGACUUCUAAUAAGUGAAAAAAAUCCCUAGGUUGAGCUUGUUGCUAUUGUCAGUAUGUGCCAGUAGUAGCGUGGUUUCUGUUUUCCUAUAACAUUGUUACUCGAACACGUUUUGUGCUUUAGAUAAACACCACAUCACUUGCUCUUAGAUUUGGCAAUGGUUCAAUUACUAACCCACCAUGGGUUAGGUUUAGGUUCCGGUUCAAACUGUUCAGAACAUCAUACUAUACUAUUGCAGUCUACCUUUCCAACUGUCAGAACUCAACUGGGUAGAUUAGAUGCCCCUUGUGUUCGUGAGAGCUUUCAAUUUUUAACCAAGCUCUUGAGAUACGAAGGAAAUAAUUAUUGUUAACCUGCAUGCAUCAUGUUCAACCCAUCUUCUUUGCAACAAGUACAUUUAAAAUUUUGCUUGUCCAUUGCUCAUUUGAACUUCUGCUAUUUAUUCCUAGGAGCUCAUAUAUAAAUUUAUUUUAUUUUCUCAUUUUGCAUGUGGUCUCAUCGUUACUUCAAUAAUAGCCCAGGAGCCAAUGACCCAGUUCGUACAUUUUUUAUUUUUUACAGAUGUCCUACCAGAUCUGUUGUGUAUAGAUUGUUCAGUCUGUGAUUUUUGCUUGCAAUCAAUUUCAGAAAACAUGAAAUUAUUGAACAUGCAUGCAUGAGUUCAGUUUGUUGUUAAAAUAAGAAAAUUUGAAGAUGUACUCUUAAUAUUAUAUAACUAUUUUUGCGAUUGCAAUUAAGGCAUACACCCAGCACACGCACAUCACACAACAAAAGUAAUCGCCUUAAGACGUGUAUUGAACAAUGAUGACCUGGAAUAAAUCUACCACUUGAAAUUAUCUGAUCUUACACAACUACCAUAUAUUUGUUCAGAUAAACCAUAUUAGUAGUGUCCAUUUUAUGCCUAUUGAUAUGUAUUUUUGUUUCAUGGUCUGCAAUGUUUUCACAUGUACUGCAACAAAGUAGAGAAUCAUGCUAUGGCAAUGAUCAUUGAUGAAUCUGGCAAAAGCAAUUUGCCACUUGGAGUGUGACACCCAGGUGUACUAUUGUCUCCACAUUCUCUAUUUUUCUUCUUUGCAAGUCUUUAAUAUUUUCCCCAGAUGUCUUUUCUUAUUUUGAAAUUUAUUUAAUCCCCUAGAAUUUCGGGCUCAAAUUGCUGCUUCCAUUACAAAAAAAUGAGGCUCAUCAUGAUGCCUGCUUCCAGUACAAGACAUGGCUUGGUGACGGCAAAAUCACCAACACCGAGCUCAUGGAGUCCAAUUGAGGCUUAUUUUGAAUUAUCUUCUUCCUGUAGUGUGGAGCACAUUGGUGUUGAUUGCGCAUCUAGAUGACAUUUGAUUUUGUAGGAACUACAUUGUCUUGACUACGGCUACCAUUUCUAGAUCGCUCUAGGAAGGAACUUGCUGCAAGCAUUAUUAUUGCUAGGAGCAUUGAUUACCAAGGAGAUACUUUUUGGUUGAUGUUGAAUAGUACCUUUCCUUAUAUAUUAUGAGCAGAUUAGUUGUUUUCUACCCUUCCUUUAAAUUGUAUUAUAAGUUGCCUUGAUUAGUUUUGGCUUAGUGUAAAUGAACUAGAAGUAACUUCUGAAUUUGUUUGACUUUGGACAUACUAGAGACUGAAGUUUCUGCUUCUAGCAUUUCCCUUCCGUAAGAUUUUAAAACAAAGACCUGAGGAAGAAGGUAGUAUUGUUUAUUGAUCUAAACAUUUUUAAUGAAAUGUAUCUUCUCUUUGUUGUGAACACAAUUGUUUACCUUUGCUUGACGAAAUUUUUGAACUACACGGAAUCAAAACCUAUUUUCAUUCUGAGCUAAAAAAAUUGAUUCCAGUGUGGCCAUUGUAAUAUCUCAUCACUCUUUUCUUCCGAGUGAAAGUUGCAAGACACCAGCUGUGCCUAUAAUGCGGUCCUUAUGUCCUGGCAAGAUGGAGGGCACAUGGUAGAGUAGCUCCAGUUGUCAUGCCAAUGAGGGUUGUCUGAUACUUCUGCAACAGAUGGAACAUGAUGCCUUCAUACAACUUGGGUAUGUCUUUCUACAUGAUAAUCUGUGUAACCUGCCAAAUAUUCAGCGCAUGUGUGUUUGAUUUUGUACGUUGAACAUAUGAUAAUGAAGCUGAGAUAAGUGAGCGGGCAUAUGACCCAGGAACGAGAUGUGCAAGAAGAGAUGGUAUGACUUCUUCACAGAAAAAUCUAUGUCCAUCUUUUUUUCUUCAUACGACCAACCAUUGGCAAGGUUCUACUAUUCAGCUGUAACAUAGCACACCAUCUUAUUUCCAGAAUAUCUUGGUUGCUAUUCUCAGUUUUGUAUUUAUUCAUUAUUAUUUUGACUAUCCAGCUCCAAUUUUAACUUGAUUUUGUGAUGUAUUUUCUUCCUUUUAGGUUUUAAUUACCAGUCGCACUAUUCAGCUGUCUCAUCCGCCCUUCGCCCCUCUGUUCGUGGAGUUCUGUUUGUGUGCAUGCUUGGAGCAGAGCCGCUGUGCUAUGGAGGCGGUGGUGUGAUUAUCGUUGGCAGGCCAGGUUCCUAGGGACGGAGAAGGAAGGAAUCGACCCUAGAUGCAACCGUGGGUGGUGGUUUCUGGCGCGGAUGGGUGCUAGAUACGAUAGCCGGAUGAAGUGGCUGCACCAACGUACAAUAUGUACUUCUGUUGAUAUAUGAUGUGUUUCAUGAAAUUUCAGUUGAUAUGUGUUGUGUUUCAUGCAGAUUCAGUCAUACAUAUAUGUUGUUCAAUCAAACAAAAUUCAGUUAGAUGAAUUUUCUGUUAUCUUCAGUUAAACAGUGCUAUCUUUCAAGCAUUUUCAGUUA